GAUAAAAGCUUCGAUGUCUCCAGAAAUUUCUUCCCCCACCCCCACGGUGGCGGGGCCACAAAAAGGUUCUCGCGCCUUCCGGUGCACACAACAAUCCGAUAACCGCGCCCGAGUGUGUGUUCAUGGCUUUGUUUGGUUGGAGAAGCUCGGUCUAUCUCGUUGUGGGUCUUCUUUUAGCUUUCUCAGAGCUCUCGGUUUGUCAGAGCUCUUAUUGUGCGUCUAAUCUGGCGUGUUCGAAGCCCCGCCAUGCGUCUUGUCUAGAGUGGUCGAAGCUCCCGACGUGCAUUAUCUCAUCAAGUCCUCCUCUUCAAAGCUCUCACUGUGCAUUGUUAGGUUAAACCUAAAGCAGCAUUAUAGAGAACUACUCCUUUUCUAAACUAUGAAAAAAUGAUGAUAUUAUAUAAAGUAGAUAGAGCUAAUGGAGAUGAGGGUGAGACAGCACGUGAGUGAAAAAAAGACGUCGUUCUUAGGAAGAAGUCAUUGAAAUCAUUAAUGACAUUAACAAUAUUGUCUCACAAAAUAGAGCCACAAUUAAUGUUGAGCUUGAUGGACAAAAAAACUUACCAAGACAAGAAAACUCACCUGACCAAGAGCACUCACCCACUAUUACUAGUGCAUGUAGCAAGAAGACAGAGAGGGUGUCUAAGGAGAAUGAGGCUAGUCUAAAUGAGUUGACGGGAGCAGUGUUAGCUGUGGCUGAGGCAAUUCAACAAGGAAAUGUGAUGAUAGGACAGUUUCAAGAAGGUGCCAUAAUUAUCAGGUGAAAAAAUUUGGAAAAUGCUUAAAAAGUGUGGGAUUGAUGCUGCAAAAUUACCUGACAUAUAUUGGUUUCUUAUGGCUAAUAGUGAUAGGCUUAAAGCAGCAACUCAAUGUCCAGCACCAAUACGAAAGGAAGUGAUGAUGAGGAUGUUUUAUAGUUCUAAUUAGAUGAUGACUUUUAUUAGUAAUUUUUGUAUAUUUUGUUAGCUAGAUGCUCAAAAUGUGGUUCUUAAGCAUGAUUAAUAUGUUAGAUGCUCUUGCCCAAUAUAUUUUGUUAUUAAUGAUUAUAAUUAUUGCUACAUUGUUAUUAAGAACGAGCA